UACGGAGGGUCCAAGCGUUGUCCGGAUUUAUUGGGUGCAAAGGGUGCGUAGGCGGGCCUGUAAGUCAGAGGUGAAAUCCUGCAGCUUAACUGUAGAACUGCCUUUGAUACUGCAGGUCUUGAGUCCUGGAGAGGUCGCCGGAAUUCGUGGUGUAGCGGUGAAAUGCGUAGAUAUCACGAGGAACGCCGGGGGUGAAGACGGGUGACUGGACAGGUACUGACGCUGAGGCACGAAAGCGUGGGGAGCAAACAGG
rnacentral:misc_RNA from 1 species